rnacentral:rRNA from 1 species
UACGAAGGGGGCUAGCGUUGCUCGGAUUGACUGGGCGUAAAGGGCGCGUAGGCGGUUCGUACAGUCAGACGUGAAAUUCCUGGGCUCAACCUGGGGGCUGCGUUUGAUACUGGAUGGCUUGAGAUUGGGAGAGGGAUGCGGAAUUCCAGGUGUAGCGGUGAAAUGCGUAGAUAUCAGGAAGAACACCCGUGGCUAAGGCGGCUCUCUAGUACGGUACUGACGCUGAGACGCGAAAGCGUGGGGAGCGAACAGG